rnacentral:lncRNA from 1 species
UCGAGCUCAGUCUCGUUGGCUCCUUCGACCGGUACGCACCACACUUGACCCUUGUAAGGAACGUUAUUCGUCGGUUUAGGCAGAGGGUUAAAACCGGUUAAGGGUUUUUGACCGGUAAAAUCAAUGUCGUAGAUUGGUGUACCGUCCGGAUGCAAGAUUCCCCAAUGUCUUUGUGUUCCCGAACCGGGUUUCUUGUUUUCGUUAAAUAAGGAGAAAACAAAUGUCGGUAUAGGUGAACCGGGUCUAGCUGGUGUACCGAUUGGUGGAGUUGCGGUCAUCUUCUUGAUCAAAUUCCGGUUAUACGUGGCGGCGUUGAAAACGUUAGCUCCGAUUUCGUCGAUGUCGCCGGAGUUAGGCCAUCCGGUUUCAGAGAUUGCGAUACGGAUGUAUGGAUAACCGAGCUUGGUCAUGGCGAAGAUAACCGAAUCCAACAUUUGGUCUACAAGAUUAUGGUAAACCAAACCGGUAUGAGGAUCGGUAUAAGUUGAGUUUCCUUGAAACAGAGCGAAAUCCAACGUGGUGUGAUUAGGGUUUCUUGACCAACGGAAGUAAGGUUGAAGAUUGAUAAAGAAGUAAGAGUUUGUUCCGUUGAGAAACUUCAGCAACGGCAACAUUAACGGUAAGGCGAUAUCUCCCCGGAAUGUUGAGUUCGACGGCGGAAACGUUGAUCGAAGAGAAUCCAUAGCUAAAGGUGUACCGACUUUGAUGUUGUGAAUCCCAUGGGCUCUGAGAGAGUUCACGAUUUUUCGCAUUGCCGGUACGACAUUGCCGGUUAUGUUCCUAUCUUUGACGGAGAGGAUUUCGUUUCCAACAAGGACAAAUCGUAUUUGUGUUUGUGGGUAGUAAGGGAGGAUAUUGGUUUUGACCCAAUCUUCAGCUGUAGUUUGGUUGGCGCUGAGGGAAGUGAUCUGGUGGGUUGGCACCGCUAUGGUGACGUAGAGAUUGGUUUGAGAGAGGAGUGUUAGACUCUCUGGAUCGGCGUCGUAGAGCUUGACAUGACCGGCUUUGAUGAGUUUGAUGAAAUUGAUCGAUUGGUAAGGAGAUGGUAGGUUGUUUCCUUGUCUACCAUAGUUAAUACCAAUCUUGCUGGCUAACUCUAGCAUCGUUUUUUUCUGUAUAUACCUGUGCGGAUGUUGGAACCCAACCGCUGAGCAACUUGUACCUGUAAAAUCAAGAAAAUUAUGUUCAAUAUGAAUCUAAAAUGUAAGCAUCAUGGUGCACUUUGCAUAUGAUUCUUUGAUGGAGAAGAUGGCUUACUUGAAAAGACGACGAGGGUGAAGAGGAAGAAAGCAAGAAGAGACAUGUCUUUUUGUGUUUGGUUCGCAGUGUGUUAAUUGUGAUCAGAUUGUGGUAUGAGUAGGAAAAUGAGUAGGAAUGGUGUGAAAUUGGAGAUGAUGCAUCGAGGUAUUAAGUAGGAGUAUGGUGAAAGUUUAGUGGUGUAAAGAUAAUACAUUUAUAUUGAGUCAUGCAAGCGUAGCUUUUUUUUUUUGGCUUUUGGUUUCUUUUGAAACUAUAUCAUAAUUCUUUUGUGCUAUGAUUUUUAAAGAUUGUUGGUUAGAUGGUUCAUAUUGAACCACUCUUUUCCUGAUUUAUAACUUCAUCGUUUUACAUGUUGCGAGUUUUGUAAUGGUGACUGUAGAUUAGAAAAGUACUUCAACUAUAUAAAAGACUUUUUUGUACAUUGAGUUGAGAAGACUAAUGAAAAUCCUAUAUAUAAUCUUAACUGAACGGGACUCUCUAGGUCGAAAAACAAAGCCCUUUAUUAUGAACUACAAGUUUUGCCCUCAAAUUCAGACAUAAUCUUUUUAAGAAUAUCUUUUAUUUGGUUUUGUGUUUGAAGUUUGUUUAAAUUAUCAGGUUCAGAUAUCACUUUGUUAUUAUUUUGUCUUCUUUCAUUUAUUAAUGCCUUUUCCCAGUAAUAUUUUUUUAUAAUGAAUGUUAAAUAUUUUAAAAGAUGGAAACUCAUAUGUAGCUACUUGUGAAAAUGAUGUCAUCUACGUACACAAGCACCACAACGUAAUCAUCUUUUCUUCUGCGUACAAACAAAGAAUGAUCACCAUGAUCUUUAGUCAAUUCCAAAUCCAAAAGAGCAGAAGAAAACUUUCUAAACCACUGAAACUUGUUUUAACCCACAUAUAGAUUUCUUGAAUCGUAAAACAGCUCUUGGUGAUAGAGUAAUGCCUUUUCUCUCGGCAUCCUUAUGGUAUCUUCAUGAGGAUUUCUUCAUCUAAAUCCGCAUUCAAAAACGCAUUAGAAAUGUCACGUUGAGUAAGAGACCAUUUCUUAGUUGCGGAAACUUUGAGAAGAAGUUUGACUUUUGCCAUUUUAGCUACAUGGGAAAAGAUUUCAUUGUAAUGCUGACUCUCUUUCUGCAUAUAUUCUUGUGUCUCUCAAGAGUUCCAUUAGCGUUGAAUUUUAAAGUAUAAAGACACAUACAACCUGCAUAUUUCUUUACAAUAGGAAGACUAGUAACAUCCCAUAUUUUUGUUGAUUUCAUAGCUUUAAUUUCAACAUCCACUGCUUCACACCAUUUCUUGGAUUUCUGAGCCUCAAAAAAUGAAGUAGGAAUAGAAAUUUAUGUAAGGUUGUUUAUGUAAGAAAGGUAUGAAGGAUAUAGUUUUGAGUAUGAAAUACAAGAUGAAAUAGGAUGGUAUAUGAUGCAGCAUCACAUACGACAUUGGCGCCAACUUAGACUAUUCGAAUAUGUCUAAUUUCCGGUUUUAGUUUUCUUAUCGGUUUUCCUUUUUAUUUAAAUUUCCUUUUACAAUUAAGUCAUUGAUAUCCUUUUCCUAUUAGGGUUUGUCUAAAGGAAGGGAUAUAUAAACAAGUUUAGUCUUCAUUGUUUGGAUACGUUUGAUUUUAUAAUAGAAGAGCUUUGCUUUUAUCUCUUGUUUAGAUUCGAUUAAAUUCAAAACAGGAAGUUGGUCUCAAGAAGCUAUCGAGAGAAACUCUUGAUCGAUCCAAGAACAGGUCUCGAAGAACUCUAAAUUCUUAGAUCGACCGUUCACCCAUUCGUACGCUGUGCCAGGUUGGUAUCAGAGCUCUGCUACGCCCCGAAUCCUUCUCAACCCGCUACAAUGGUUCGUAAGACUCGUGCUCAGCAAUACGCUGAUGACGAAGAUAUCUCGGCUACUCAACAAUCUGUUAUUGAGCUCCAGGAACAGAUUGCAGACCUAGCUACCGCCGUCGCUGCAUUAACCGCACGACAAGCUGCACCUGCACUUCCCUCCGCAACGACCAGAUAUCUAUCCAUGAUAACUCCGACGAAGACGACGAGAAUCCAUUCGCUCCUCUUCGACAACCACAAAAACAUCAACGACCUCGACGCCGCAUCAACAAUAGCUCCGAUUCAGAAGAAGAAGCUAACGAGUCAUCAUGGAAAUCCAGCUUCAAGCUCGAGCUCCCAGUAUUCAAUGGCUCCACGAACGCUGAGGAAUUAUUGGAUUGGUUUGUAACGAUAGAAAAAAUUCUCGAGUUUAGAGAAAUUUCAUUGAACCGCUUUGUACCCCUAGUCGCCAUACGCUUCCGUGACCGAGCAGCCGCUUGGUGGUCACAAGUUAAAACGACAAGAGCACGAUUGGGAAAAUCGAAGAUUACUACUUGGGAUAAGCUUAAACGAGAGAUGCAAAAAAAAAUAUCUCCCGUACAACUAUGAUCAACUUAUGUUUCAGAAAUUUCAGAAUCUACGACAAGGCAUUCGAUCCGUCGACGAGUACGCGACAUAAUUUUUUAGAAUGAUCAACCGUGUGGAGAUUCGUGAUACCGAAGAACAACUAACAAUGCGUUUUGUGGGAGGUCUUGGCCAACAAAUCCAACACACUCUGAACCUGUUUCGUCCACAUUCUAUCUCAGAAGCUCAUCAGCAAGCCCUCACGAUAGAAACUCAGAACCGAACCGGUUCUCAAUCUUGGACGGCUCGAAAAACUCGACAGAAUCAAGCUGUUUCUUCAGCUACCCCCGAUAUUGUGCCUCCUAAGUCAGAAACCGCGAUCGUACCUGUCGACCCUUUGAAACAGCAACGCACGGGUGGCUUACGUUGUUUCUCGUGUGGAGAGACCGGUCACCGUCAAGCUUCUUGCCCACAUUGUAACAAACGUGGACUUCUUAUUGAAGAUAUCACGGGUGAUCAAGAACCGACGAAUGACGACGAAGAAAUAGAAACAGAAGAAGAAUUGUACCCAUCUUCAUGUUUUGUAAACAAAAAAAAAUUAUAUAUUUAAUAGUUAUUUGAUGUUUUUCUCAACAUUAAGCCACACGAAACAGAAACCAGAAAAUCUAGAGUGAGUAAAUACGAAUAAUCCAGCUUUGAUCAUCUUAAAUCUCUUUCAGGCGUUCUUGCUCACAGAGUAACGCUCGGGAACUUGCAGCGAUCAUUUCCUGUGAAAAGGCUUUAUUAUUUACAAUAUAUUCCACAAAUACCCUUACACUGUCACAUGAUCCGUGACUAUACAAAGGUUUAUUUAUAUCCAAUUUUGGAGAAAAAUAAAUAAAUGACUCACCAGGGUUAGUCGUGGUCUCAUGAGCCAAUCCAUUAAAGUAACAUUGGACGUUUUGGCUACGGAACUGAGCCCAGUACGAGUUAAGCGCGUAGCUUGCGUGCGAAUAAACAGAGACCGGCUCGUAACAUUCUCUGCCAGGAGCCAAAGCCGCACACGUCGUGUUGCUUCGGGCACAAGCCAUCCUCAAAGCUUCCUCAAGCUCAGCCUCGUUGGCUCCUUCGACCAGUACGCACCACACUUGACCCUUGUAAGGAACGUUAUUGGUCGGUUUAGGCAGAGGGUUAAAACCGGUUAAGGGUUUUUGACCGGUAAAAUCAAUGUCGUAGAUUGGUGUACCGUCCGGAUGCAAGAUUCCCCAAUGUCUUUGUGUUCCCGAACCGGGUUUCUUGUUUUCGUUAAAUAAGGAGAAAACAAAUGUCGGUAUAGGUGAACCGGGUCUAGCUGGUGUACCGAUUGGUGGAGUUGCGGUCAUCUUCUUGAUCAAAUUCCGGUUAUACGUGGCGGCGUUGAAAACGUUAGCUCCGAUUUCGUCGAUGUCGCCGGAGUUAGGCCAUCCGGUUUCAGAGAUUGCGAUA